ACAUUAAAUGAAAUAAUGCUAAAUGUUUAUAAACAAUUUUUUGGAGAUGCAGUAGACAUGACUGAGGGUGCUGAAUUAACAUGGAUGCGUCAACCUCAUUACUAUAUGGGAUUAUAUUCGUAUACGUAUUCUGCUGGCUUAACAAUCGGAACUGUCGUUUCUCAAAAGAUUAAAAAUGAAGGCCAACCAGCUGUUGAUGCUUGGUUAGAAACAUUGAAAAAAGGUGGUAGUGUAUCACCUGUCGAACUUGCAAACAUUGCAGGUGUAGACAUUACUACAGAACAGCCACUUAAAUCUACAAUUCAAUAUAUUUCUGAUUUAGUCGAUGAAGUUGAAAAAUUAACAGAUGAAAUUGAGCAAGCAAAUAACUAAGAUGCGAGACAAUUUAUAGUAGAACAAUAUAAACCAAGAUUUUCACAUUACUAAUUGUGAGAAUCU
rnacentral:sRNA from 1 species